rnacentral:rRNA from 1 species
AGGGAUAACAGGCUAAUAACCCCUAAGAGACCAAAUCGCCGGGGUUGCUUGGCACCUCGAUGUCGGCUCAUCACAUACUGGGGCUGUAGGCGGUCCCAAGGGUUCGGCUGUUCGCCGAUUAAAGUGGCACGCGAGCUGGGUUCAGAACGUCGCGAGACAGUUCGGUCCUCUAUCCUCUGUGGGCGUAGGAAAAUUGAGGGGUUCAAACUCUAGUACGAGAGGACCGAGUUUGACGAGCCUCUGGUGCACCGGUUGUCGCGUCAGCGGCAUAGCCGGGUAGCUAAGCUCGGAACAGAUAAGCGCUGAAAGCAUCUAAGCGCCAAGCUAUUCCCAAGAUAAAUUUUCCCUGAAGGAUCGUGGAAGACUACCACGUUGAUAGGCUGCUUGUGUAAUGAUGGCAACAUCUUUAGCUUAGCAGUACUAAUAAUCCGUUCGACUUGUUUCAC